CCUACGGGAGGCAGCAGUGAGGAAUAUUGGUCAAUGGGCGCGAGCCUGACCCAGCCAAGCAGCGUGAAGGAUGACUGCCCUACGGGUUGUAAACUUCUUUUAUAGAGGAAUAAAGUCAGGCACGUGUGCAUUUAUGUAUGUACUUUAUUAAUAAGGAUCGGCUAACUACGUGCCAGCAGCCGCGGUAAUACGUAGGAUCCGAGCGUUAACCGGAUUUAUUGGGUUUAAAGGGAGCGUAGAUGGGUAGUUAAGUCAGUUGGGAAAGUUUGCGGCUCAACCGUAAAAUUGCAAUUUAUACUGGCAGUCUUGAGUACAGUUGAGGUAGGCGGAAUUCGUGGUGUAGCGGUGAAAUGCGUAGAUAUCACGAAGAACUCCGAUGGCGAAGGCAGCUUACUAAACUGCCACUGACGUUGAUGCUCGAAAGUGUGGGUAGCAAACAGGAUUAGAUACCCGAGUAGUC
rnacentral:rRNA from 1 species